AACGAACGCUGGCGGCGUGGAUAAGACAUGCAAGUCGGACGAGAUUUUUCGUUGUAGCAAUAUGAUGGGAAGUUUAGUGGCGAACGGGUGCUUAACACGUGGGCAACCUGCCAGGAAGUGGGGGAUAGCUCGCCGAAAGGCGAAUUAAUACCGCAUGUGAUUAGAGAGGACAUCCUUUCGAAAUUAAAGUCGGGGCAACCUGACGCUUCUUGUGGGGCCCGCGGCCUAUCAGCUAGUUGGUGGGGUAACGGCUCACCAAGGCUUUGACGGGUAGCUGGUCUGAGAGGACGACCAGCCACACUGGGACUGAGACACGGCCCAGACACCUACGGGUGGCAGCAGUCGAGAAUUUUUGACAAUGGGGGAAACCCUGAUCGAGCGACGCCGCGUGGAGGAUGAAGGUCUUCGGAUUGUAAACUCCUGUCAUUGGGGAACAAUGCGUGACGGUUAACUGCCGUCGCGUUGAUAGUACCCGAAGAGGAAGAGACGGCUAACUCUGUGCCAGCCGCCGCCGUAAUAC
rnacentral:rRNA from 1 species